GUGGAUGGGUGACCUAUAACCUGGCGUCUUUGACCACGCACUUUUGAAGUGAUAAUUUGAGUUAGCGCAAAAAUGGACGAUGAACCAGCAAGAGAAAACGAUAGUCUAAGAAAUAAUUACUGGAAGAAGGGGAAAAUGGCCACAGCAUCGGCGCUGGAAAAUGCAAUUGCUUGUUGGCAGUUCCUGGUCAAGUUAACUCUGCGAGAACAAGAAUGCAAAGUCGUCAACGGCGAGUGACCCAAAGGGCCUCUGUGAAAGUCCGCCUCCUUGGCCUUUCCUCUGGUUGAACUUCCACACGACUCCUCCGCUUAGCCAGGUAAGAUUGGG